CACCAGCUCACCAGCUGCUAAAAAAUUUGAGCAACAGCCAAAAUAAUCAAAGUCGCACGGGACCUGCCCUAAGGAAGAAAAAAGACUCCAGUUGCGUUUUUCACGAGCCAGGCUCCAAGAACAAGAGUACACGUUCCUAACCCUUAUGCUAGCCAGUAAUUCGUAAGACUAAGAGAAGAAUGGCCACCAAGUACAAAACUAUAAGCUGAGUGUUAAUGGAUUUGAGGCAAUAUCCUUUUAAACCCUAAACCCUGUACCAUAUCACUAACAUAUCUGUUUGGUCUUUUCGAGGGCUGAAAACUUGUUUCCAGUUUGUGGACAAGUUGAAAGGCAGUGAUGGCUGCUUGUCAUCUGUGGCGAAGGUUUCUGAUUACCCAGUUGCGCCGUCAGACUUGUGUAUCUUCUUCUCCAAUAUAUAAAUGCAAGCUAUCGAUGCACGUCAAAACAUCCAACCACGGUAAGAGCUUUGGUCCUCAUUUUUGUGGAUUAAUAUUUUAUUCAACAAAUCCAUCCCCUCAGGAAACCCACGAAAACCCUGACUUACAACAACAGGAACAAACCCUCCUAAAAUUAGAGCAUUUUCUGAAAAACAUUAAACAGAUACUGCCCGACUCUCUUGUGUUGAAUGAUCUUAUGGAAAUGUGUGAUAAACUGGAACUUUCUCACAGAAAUAACGCCUAUGACAUGCUUAUCAAGGCCCUUUGUAAGGAAAAUUAUGUGGACUUAGCCUCUGAUGUAUUGGAAAAGAUGUUUAAUGUGGGUUGCACUCCCAGAAUCCUAACAUUUCAUCCCCUUAUAUCUGUGUACUCUGAGAACAAUCAGAUGGAUAGGCUGUAUGCCCUUUUUGAUAUGAUGAAGUCUAGAGGCUGUCCUCCGGAUUCUGUUUGUUAUAUUACAGCUUUAAGAAAAGUUUGUUACAGAAAACGGUUUGCAGAGGCGUCACAACUGCUCGAGUCCAUGGUUCGUGAUGUCUCUGCCUGUAAGCUGGAUGCAGUUACAUAUGAUUUAUUGAUUUAUGCUGCCUGCAAAACAGGAAAAUUUGAAGAUGGUUUGGAACUUCUUGGAAGAAUGAAAGCUGAGGGCAUUAGGCCUCUGAGUGGUACCUAUACUCAUAUUCUUAAUGGGUUUGUAAAAGGUGGAGAAUUUGACAAAGCACAUUUGUUUCUACUUCAGGAGAGCGGAAACAAUCCUAGCUUGGAUUCGAGUAACUAUGAAAGUUUGAUCAGGUCUUGUAGCAGUGCAGGCAGAGAGAAAGAGGCAUAUGAGCUUUUUAUGGAGAUGAAAUUCAAGGGCUUGGAACUUCUGGAUGAUCAGCUGUGCAAAGAGGUUUUAGAGAACCAUGGUGUUGAUGAGGAAACGUAGCUCACAAUUGUUUUGAAAUCAUUCUGCUGGGCAUAGUGUACGCUGUAGAUUGAGGUCACAUGAUUUGCCCUGCUGUGAAAUUCAUUGAGAUUUAAUGUGUCUGUUGAAUAAACUCAGAAAUUUCUAUGACAAGCUAAUACACUUGCAUUGUGCCAAUGCAACUAAUUGAUGGAAAGUAAAGGCUUUAUUCUUUUGAUUCUUGAAAAUUGGUUUUCAUGUGUUUUGUGCUGUUAUUAGGUAAUUUAAAAACUUUCCGCAUGUGAUUGGUUUUAUGUGAAACAAAUCAACCUUAAGUUUAUUAAUCGCCUAUCUUGUUUUAUUUGUUAUGUUUUAUGGGUAACUUUUGCAGGUUCUGUUCAAUUCAUUACCUUUUACAGGUAUGAUUAAUUUAUGCCUUUGUAUAGCCGCCAUAUAAGCCUGCUCUGUUUUCUGCAGUUGCAACUAGAAAGUUUUGUGGUGGUAGCAAGAAGUGGUUGGAAGGUUUCCCAACGAGGCCGUGGAUAAGAUUCUUUUGAAAUUAAUCAUUUGUUUGAAAGCACAAAGGAAUUUAGUUUAGAUUUAAAGUAAACAUCAUAAAGAAUAAUAACAUAGUUAAAGAGUGCUAAAUAAGACAUCAAUUACUCCAUAUUGCAUGAAAUGACACGUUUGAAUAAAUGGAAUGAAAAAUACAUGGAAUGCGAGCAUAUUAUUGGUCUUUUUUAUAUCUGAUAUAUUGAACAGCAUUCUCUAUGACAUGCUUAUGUUU